CCUACGGGUGGCAGCAGUGAGGAAUAUUGGUCAAUGGGCGCUAGCCUGAACCAGCCAAGUAGCGUGAAGGAUGACUGCCCGAUGGGGUGUAAACUGCUUUUAUAUGGGAAUAAAGUGCAGGAUGUAUACGGCUUUGCAUGUACCUUAGGAAUAAGGAUCGGCUAACUCCGUGCCAGCAGCCGCGGUAAUACGGAGGAUCCGAUCGUUAUCCGGAUUUAUUGGGGUUAAAGGGAGCGUAGGCGGGUUGUUCAGUCAGUUGUGAAGGUUUGCGGCUCAACCGUAAAAUUGCAUUUGAUACGGGCAUCCUUGCGUCCAGUAGAGUUCGGCGGUCUUCGUGGUGUAGCGGU
rnacentral:rRNA from 1 species